rnacentral:rRNA from 1 species
CCUACGGGAGGCAGCAGUGGGGAAUAUUGGGCAAUGGGCGAAAGCCUGACCCAGCAACGCCGCGUGAAGGAAGAAGGCUUUCGGGUUGUAAACCUCUUUUGUCGGGGAGCAAAAGACGCCACGCGUGGCGUUCCGAGAGUACCCGAAGAAAAAGCAUCGGCUAACUCCGUGCCAGCAGCCGCGGUAAUACGGAGGAUGCGAGCGUUAUCCGGAUUUAUUGGGUUUAAAGGGUGCGCAGGCGGAAGAUCAAGUCAGCGGUAAAAUUGAGAGGCUCAACCUCUUCGAGCCGUUGAAACUGGUUUUCUUGAGUGAGUGAGAAGUAUGCGGAAUGCGUGGUGUAGCGGUGAAAUGCAUAGAUAUCACGCAGAACUCCGAUUGCGAAGGCAGCAUACCGGCGCUCAACUGACGCUCAUGCACGAAAGUGUGGGUAUCGAACAGGAUUAGAUACCCGUGUAGUC